UUCGCGGUCGGGUCGAAGUUUCGGGUGACCACGAGGUAGUUCCGCAGCGCGAUCGCGUGCAGGUUCUC
rnacentral:sRNA from 1 species